ACCCGAUGGUGCACCCGAAAGAACACAGAGGGUGGAGGGGGAGAUCCAGGAAGUGGUCGCGGAGCAGAACCCCCUUUCACUUCAGUCAAAAAUCUCUCACACUUUGGAUACGCUCCUCUAAUCCUGUCUGAAAGAGCUAAGCUGACCCCCACCACCGUUGGAGGAAACUCCUGGAGCAGUGCUGGGGUUUUCACUGCAAUCAGCUGCUCCAACUUUGUCUUGUACAUGGCUCUUUGACCUUGGGCUUGUGGAUUAGGGGCCUGUGGAGGAGCUCUGUGACUGCUCUGAUAUCUGUGGAUGGUUCUGAGGCAUUGUAUUUAGUGAAAAAACUGGAAACCAUAUGCAUGUCCAUGAAUAAAAAAUGGGGCAUAGGCCGGGCGCCG
rnacentral:lncRNA from 10 species